UGGGGAAUAUUGGACAAUGGGCGCAAGCCUGAUCCAGCGACGCCGCGUGUGUGAAGAAGGCCUGCGGGUUGUAAAGCACUUUCGAUGGGAACGAAAUGUGCCGGGUUAAUACCCCGGUAAGCUGACGUUACUCAAUGAAGAAGCACCGGCUAACUCUGUGCCAGCAGCCGCGGUAAUACAGAGGGUGCGAGCGUUAAUCGGAAUUACUGGGCGUAAAGCGCACGUAGGUGGCGACGUAAGUCGGGUGUGAAAGCCCCGGGCUCAACCUGGGAAUUGCAUUCGAGACUGCAUUGCUGGAGUACGGAAGAGGAGGGCGGAAUUCCCGGUGUAGCGGUGAAAUGCGUAGAUAUCCGGAGGAACACCAGUGGCGAAGGCGGCUUUCUGGACCGACACUGACGCUGAGGCGCGAAAGCUAGGGGAGCAAACGGGAUUAGAUACCCAAGUAGUCCCUGAGCGGGCUGGCAAGGCGCAU
rnacentral:rRNA from 1 species